AGCAGCCGCGGUAAUUCCAGCUCCAAUAGCGUAUAUUAAAGUUGCUGCAGUUAAAAAGCUCGUAGUUGAAUUUCGGGACUAAUAUGUCGGUCGUGCCUCGGUACGUACUGGUAUUUUUGGUUUCUCCCUUCUGACGAACCUUGAUGUCAUUAAUUUGGUGUCUUGGGAAAUCAGGACUGUUACUUUGAAAAAAUUAGAGUGUUUAAAGCAGGCUCACGCUUGAAUACAUUAGCAUGGAAUAAUGAAAUAGGACGUUUGAUUCUAUUUUGUUGGUUUCUAGGAUCGACGUAAUGAUUAAUAGGGAUAGUUGGGGGCAUUAGUAUUCAAUUGUCAGAGGUGAAAUUCUUGGAUUUAUUGAAGACUAACUACUGCGAAAGCAUUUGCCAAGGAUGUUUUCAUUAAUCAAGAACGAAAGUUAGGGGAUCGAAGACGAUCAGAUACCGUCGUAGUCUUAACCAUAAACUAUGCCGACUAGGGAUCGGAUGAUGUUAAUUUUUUAAUGACUCAUUCGGCGCCUUAC
rnacentral:rRNA from 1 species